rnacentral:rRNA from 1 species
AUGAGAUUCAUAGACAAAACAGAUUUGGAAUUGUUUUUCCUUCCUAGGAUAAAAUUCCAUGUGCUUCAGAUUAUUGGCCUGGAGCUCAUCAGCAGCUGUAUAGUGAAUCCUACCGUAUCAUGUCAAUCCCACCAGCCUCUGAUCCAUUCCCAUUCGCUCAUGGCAAGGGAGCAAGUCAAAAUAGAACAAGCAACAUUGGGUUUAGGGGCAAACCCAAAGAAAGGAAACUCCUUUUAUAUACUUUAUAUAGACCCUGAAGUUAAUGAUCAGCAGGUGACAUGGUUGGAACCCAUCAGGUGA